AUGGCUGUGGUUAGAGAUGAGCACCCCUACCUGCAAGAGCACUACUAUGUUGUGAGUUUCAUCAAUGGACUGAAACCAACGAUCAGAUGUAACCUAAGACCACAGAGACCCAAACUCCUCACCCAAGCUUACUGGAUGGCUAAGGAUUUUGAAAGUGGUAUUCAAGCUAAGUACCAAGCUUAUGUCACCCAGCAGGAUAAGCAGUUGCAAUUCCAUACUACUCACAGCAAAACUCCUACUACUACAGCUAGAAAUACCUCAGUUCCACCAGCAGCACCUGCAACUAGGAAACCUGGUGUCUGCUGGAGAUGUAAUGGACCAUGGGUCCCAGGGCACAAAUGCAAGCAAUCUCUAAGCAUUCAUGCUAUUGCUAGUGAAAAUCAAAGUGAAGAAAUGUCCCAAGAGGAAGAAGCACAACUAGCAGUUCUAGCUGCUAAAGGGCAAUUUUUUUAUAGUUCUGACAAAUGCAUGCAAAUAUCUGCACAAGCAGUUUCAGGCAACACUUCUGAAGGAACACUAGCUGUCCAGAUCAUGAUUGGGAACAAAUAA
rnacentral:rRNA from 1 species